CCUGGGUGGUAAUUGAUGUCCCACCCCUCUGAGGACAGCCCAGCUGAAAUCCAGCAGGGGCCCUCAGGCCAGGAUCUUAGUGGUGGGUGCUGGGAUAUGAACUCUAUGUUGUCUUCUCUGGAUGGUCUUUCCAUUUUAAAGAUGGGGAAAUGGAGUCACCAGGAGCCUUGCCCAAGGUUAGGCCAUGUCCAUGGCAAAAGAUUCAGAAGUACCCAAGAAUCUGAUCUGUGACCCUUCCAUGGCCUUCUGGAUAAAGUCCGAGGAUCUAACCAGUGGUUGAAGCCCUCCCCUGAUGGCUCUGACUGACGUGACGUGGCCCGUUUCCCCAGUCAGAUGGCAGGCUGCUGGAGGGCAGUGAUGGUGACUCAUGCCUUGGUCCUGUGUGGCCCGCCCCCAGCUGGGCUGGCAGACUUCACAGAAGGCGGGAGAGAAUGAUGGCCGUGCUGACUGCACGCGUGGCCAUCUAAGGUUUGGAUUCUGGCCUUCACUCUGUUGCUGUGUGAACCGGGCACGCUGCUUCACUGUUUGGAGUCUCAACGUCCUCAUCCACCAAAUGGGCAUAAUAAUAGUGUCUGCUUAGGUUACUGUGAGGAUUAAGUACAAUGACCUGUGGUAAGUGCUCAGCCUGGUGCCUGGCAUGGGGCCUUAGAGAAUCAAGGCUCCACGAUCCUUUAUCCCAAACUUGGGGCCAGAGGUUUCAGAAUUCCGAGUUUUUCAGAUUUUAGAAAUAUACCAUACACAAUACAACCCAGCCAAGUGGCAGGGUUUCUAUUAAAAAACAACAACAGGGUGCCUGGGUGGCUCAGUUGGUUGAGCGACUGCCUUCGGCUCAGGUCAUGAUCCUGGAGUCCCGGGAUCGAGUCCCGCAUCAGGCUCCCUGCUCGGCAGGGAGUCUGCUUCUCCCUCUGACCCUCCUCCCUCUCAUGCUCUCUGUCUCUCAUUCUCUC